rnacentral:snoRNA from 1 species
CUGCAGUCAAUGAAGCCGACUGGGUUCCUUUGCUGGUGGGCACUGAGUGUGCAAUAGCUAUAAACAGCAACUCCUCACUAGUGUACUCAGCCUGCUGUAUGCGCUGCCUUAAGGGCGUUGGCGACACUG